CAGCCUAACCCUCCCACCUACAGCCUAACCCUUCCGCCCACAGCCUAACCCUCGCACCCGCAGCCUAACCCUAACUCUCCCACCCACAGCCUAACCCUUGCACCCACAGCCUAAAAAAGCAUUACCCGAACCCUCACAUCCACAGCCUAAUGCUAACCUUCAUGCCUGCAGCCUAAUCCUAACCUCCCCUGCCCACAGCUAAACCCUCAAACCCUCAGCCUAACCCUAACUCUCCAACCCAAAGGCCUGAGCCUCACACCCACAACCUAACCACUGUGUCCACAGCCUAACCCUCCCUCCCACAGCCUAACCCAACCCUCGCAUACAGAGCUAAUCCUAACUAUCCUGUAUGCUGCCUAACCCUCAUGCCAGCAGCCUAACACUAACCCUCCAGCCCACAGCUUAGCCCUCACCCAUAGCCUAACCCUAACUCUCCCGUCUGCAGCCUAACCCUCAUGCGCACGACCAGUCCCAAACCAUCGCAGCCAUAGCCUAACCCUCCCGUCUGCAGCCUAACAUUAACCCUUGUGCCCGCAGUUUAACCCUUGCACCCCCAAACUAACUCGAACAUUCCCACCUGCAGCCUAACCCUUGUGUCUGCAGCCUAACCAUAACCCUCAUGCCUGCAGCCUAACCCUCGCAGCCGCAGCCUUACCCUAACCCUCCCACCUGUAGCCUAACCCAUGUGCCUGCAAUGUAACUUUAAUCCUCCUGCCCACAGCCUAACCCUAAUGUUGAGAAUGCUGAAAAUGUCGGCAUGUUGCCUGUCAUUACGGUACCUGUGGACAUUCUCAUUGUUGACCUUUUGACUACAUCCUGCUAGAAUAGCAUUUAUGGGAGUGGCUGGAGUACGAAGAGCCACCAUGAGAUAUAAUAACCCCAGAAGUGGUUCAGACGCUCCAUGUACAGGACACAGAUGCCCCACAAGAGCAGGGUAAAUCGGGGGAGAUGAAUGAAAAUGUAACAACCUUAGCACAACAAAAUAUUGGUCGCCUCACUGAGGCAUCAAGUUGGGCCAGUAGUAGUGGCCACCCUUCACCUGCACCAACGCCACCCAGGUAUGGGACCCAGGCUAGAGGUGGUGGUACUGGUCCUUGUCGCUCCUCAUCGUUCCCUAGCUGCUCACCUAAAAGAAGACAUUGACAACAUUUUCUGUAAUUAACCUAUUACAAUGACAUUAUUAUGCUUGCUCUAAAAAACUUUUAACAUUAAUUUGUGUGCUUAAACAAAAGCAGUUAAUAUUUUCUAGUUUUGUGAGUUUAUUAAAAAUAAUUAAAAAAAUUGUUGUGGUGUCCCAAAACAAUGUUAAAACAAUGCUGCAUAUAAAACAUUGUUUGGAAAAUUGUGUUGUUUGAAGCAUUUAAGGCUAUGUUGGCCUGAUUAUUGCAUAUUUCAUCAUUAAUAUUGUAAGUAUUUGUAUGUGUACUUUAAACUUACAGUAUUUUUACGCUGACAAAAGCAUUCUUGGCUGAUUUGUUCAGCUGGACAAAUUCCUAUGUUUUAUUGUUAUUUUUAUGGGUAGUACCAACCAAAAUUAUUUGUAUUUAUGUCUAAGAGCAAAUUGUGCCAUAAUUUA